CGUUUGUUUUGUCCUUCAUCUUACAUCGCUGAUCCUCGGCAUGCGCGCGCAAAUAAACAGUAUUCUGCGCAUGCUCGGUGACCUGUAAUUUCACCACACCUCCAGAAACGCCCACUUUACGUCACAGUACUGAAACACCUGGAAUUUAGUGAACGUCAUUUCUCUUUUUACUUUUCUUUCGUCUUCUACCUGAUUCGCUGACUGGUGUCGACUCGAUCAAUGACUGCGUCACUGCCGCGCUGCUGUUGCACCAAUCAGCGCUCUGGAUUUCCCAAAGAAGGCGGGACUUCCGGUAUAAAAGCACCGUCUAGGAAGUGGAUUAUUCGACGUCAGAUCUAGACUAGAACAGGUUGAGACUGGACAGAGAGUCACAUUAAGAGAGCGCUGUGUUGUGUGUAAGGUUUAUUGUACUCUCAGACGUUUGAGCUGCACUUUGUGAUUCUAUGAUGACAGAGUUCAUUCUAAUUAAGAAAAAAAAGGUGUCAAAACCUGAUACAGCCAAAUAUGAGGACUCGCUUGAGCUGCACGUGGUGCUGUUGGAAUUGGAGGCAAUCUAGAAACAGAUCCGCAGCCUACUCGACAAGCUGGCCCAGCUGCAUGAGCGAAGAACUGCACUGGAAACAUCUUGUGCUAUCAACAUCUUGUGCUAUUCUUUUGGCUCCAACUCAAAAGAAAAAUAAUUAGAGAGAAAAAGCUAGCACUCUGGUAUAACGAUCAAAUGCGUACCUUAAAACAGACCACACAAUUAGAAUGUAAAUGGUGUCAAACCAAAUUGGUAAUAUUUCAAACAGCAUGGAAGGAGAACCUCCUGAACUAUAGAAAAUGUCUUAGUGAUGCUAGAUCAGUCUCUCUCUCCACCUUAAUAGAAGAAAACAAAAACAAUUCUAGAUUUCUAUUCAACAUGGUAGUAAAAUUAACUAGGAAUAAAACCACCAGAGAAACAGGUACACAAUCAUUAUAUAGCAGCAAAGAUUUCAUGAUUUUCUCAUUGAUAAAGUUGAAAAUAUUAGAUGUGAAAUUCAGGCUAUUAA